UACGUAGGGUGCAGGCGUUGUUCGGAAUCAUUGGGCGUAAAGCGCGUGUAGGCGGCUUACUAAGUCUGGUGUGAAAGCCCGGGGCUUAACCCCGGAAGUGCACUGGAUACUGGUAAGCUAGAGGACGAGAGAGGAUGGUGGAAUUCCUGGUGUAGGGGUGAAAUCCGUAGAUAUCAGGAGGAACAUCGGUGGCGAAGGCGGCCAUCUGGCUCGUUUCUGACGCUCAGACGCGAAAGCGCGGGGAGCAAACAGG
rnacentral:rRNA from 1 species